UACGGAGGGGGGCUAGCGUUGUUCGGAAUUACUGGGCGUAAAGCGCACGUAGGCGGCUUUGUAAGUUAGAGGUGAAAGCCCAGGGCUUAACCCUGGAAUUGCCUUUAAGACUGCAUCGCUAGAAUCGUGGAGAGGUGAGUGGAAUUCCUGGUGUAGCGGUGAAAUGCGCAGAUAUCAGGAAGAACACCCGUGGCUAAGGCGGCUCUCUAGUACGGUACUGACGCUGAGACGCGAAAGCGUGGGGAGCGAACAGG
rnacentral:rRNA from 1 species